rnacentral:lncRNA from 1 species
AAAUUUCAGAUGUUUUUUAUUCAAAGGUUUUCAAAAGAAAUAAAACAGAAAAAGCUAACAAUCUGAUCAAAUGUACAGUUCAAAAAUGUCUUUUGGCGUUUAACAACAAGUCCUAGGAAGGAAACUACAGAGUUUAUCUUGAACCGGACAAAUAAGUUACCACUGGCAAGUUUGUGGCACUAGUAAAACAAAAAUAAAAAAUUAACUCUCUUGAUCAUAUAGAUAUCUCUAUGAAAAUCUUUUUUUCAAUCUGUACAAAAGGUCUUUCUUCAUAAAUUAAUUUUUUUUAUAAUUUAAUGGCUGUCUACUAUGUGAUGUUUAACUGAUUUUUUUUUUUUUUGUAUGUACAGAGGUUAUGUUUCCCAAAUCUUACCCAGACGAGUAUGGCACUUAGUUCAGACAUAUCUAGCAGCAGAUUUCCCCUCCCUUCUAACCGAGCUAUCAAAUUUCUGUCUUAACUAAUGCAAAAAUAUCAAGUAGUGAGAGACCCAGGUUUAUAAAUGUACUAGGUACAAGGAGGGUGCUGCGUUCAGUCUGGACUUUCACAAAGCAGUUAAUAUUCCAGGGAGCAUAGAACCAAUAAUACCACAACUUUAAAAAAGGAAACAAAAACAAAAACAAAACACAUUUCUCUUAUGACUAUGUAAUUUUUCACUAGAAUCUACACUUCUCAGAGCAGCAAGGACUUUUGAAACUAUGAAAUGUCACUGACAUCUAUAAUCAAAUACAAGCAUAAAAUUUAAGAACUAAAAAAUACUCGAAAGAAAUAACUGCUUAGCCCUAGCUCCUGAGCUAGGAGGAUUUGGUCUGUGGAAACAGGGAGGGCCAGCAACCUGUCCCAGCACAAAAGAAAACAGACUCUGAGGUAGAUAACUGAUCACACACAGUUGACCAGACAAGUACACAGUUUUGGAAGACAACUUAAUUUACCAUUGCUUUUCAAACGUAUGCAAUUGUCUUAAUAAAAGAGCUUUAAUAACAGUGAAUUAUCUUAUAUGUACUAAAGUAGAAAUAACUGUGUAUUUAUGAAUCAGGAAUUUCAUAGUUUCAAAAUUGGUUUCUCUUUACACUUAACACUUGUAGUGAUGAUGUAAAGUGUGGCACUGCUUGGAUCCAAAUCUUCCUUCAUGCUUUUUUGUUUGUUUGUGUGUGUCCAUACAUCAAUUAAAAUGAUAAAACCUAAAUGCAAAGGUACAAAAAAAGGCACAUUCUCCUAACCGCAAACUGGUCCGGCAAAAAUAAAGAGCACAGAAGAUAGGAUGCUGAGACAAGGUGGAGCUACUGGUUACUGGCUCUUCGGUCUUUGGUGAAGUUACCUUUAAAAGUGCCAAGGAAUUUUUAUUUCUCAAAUUUAUGUAAUAGAGAGAGCUAGUAGCCAAUCGUUUCGCUUCUAUUCAUAUCUCAGCUUAUGUUUGAAGAUAAAAUCCUUACUUUUAGCUUUUGCCAUUUAGUUGCAAUAGCAACGUUUUUCCAUUUGCCAGAUCUCAGGCAUAAUUCUCAUUCUAAAGCACUAUCAUUAGUAUAAAGGAAGGACAAAACAUUCGGUGACUCCCCGCCCCCGCCCCCCGCCCCCAGCCCCAACGCUACCUACACUAAAUCUAGAACAUCGAGUUAGUUUUUUUUUUUCCUGAAAAAAGGCAAAAAAGACUUUACAUUGCAUCAUACAGCAGAUAUCCUAAAUCAGUCAAACUAUCAGAGGAAACUGUUGGCGUACAGCCUUACAAACAAUUUACCCUAUUAAAAGUUCCCCAGUCAGAAAAUGUGUUUCACACAAAACAUUUUUCCCUUCUUGCAUUUCACUACCUUAC